GUAUUAGUUACGUUCAUUGUUUAGCUAUAAAUACAGCUUUGUAACUCUGAUAUUAUCAAGCAAUCAAAUACACAAAUCUAAUAACAAUUAUUCAAAACCUUAUACACUGCAGCAACAGCCUACUGAUCAGCCCCUUGGCUGUGUAUCACAACGGUAACAGCAACCUGCUGACCAGCUAGCAGUUGCUGGCCGAGGUCAGCAGCCUUCCACGGAGGAAGAGGUAUUGGGGCAUUCCACAAUCAUUUUUUUUAACCAUGAAAAGUGAAGCAACUACAACAUCAAUGUCGGUAGAUGAUGAGGUUGAUGAAUCUAAUGCCGCCCGUAAGCGUAAAUGGAGUAGGAAAUCUAAAGUUUGGCAAGAAAUGACAGAAGGAAAGAAUGCUAAAGGUGAGCGAAUUGCUAUUUGUAAGCAUUGUAAAGUGGAGUUAAUUACCCACAAAAAUAGUGGCACAUCUCAUUUAAUACGUCAUUUGCUUGAAGUGUGUAAAAAACGAUCUACUGGACUUCCACUUGGGGAGGCGGUUGAUGAUGAGGAAGAAUUUGUUUUUUAUAUGAGUGAAUUAAGAAAGGAGAUUUUAUUGUAUGUUGUUGAAGGUUCUCAUUCUUUUUCAAUCGUGGAAGAAAAAGGUUUUAGGCGGAUGAUGUUAAAGUCUAAUCCUAAAUUUAAACCAUUUAGUCGAACAACUUUAAGUAGAGACCUUUUUUCUUUGUAUGCCUCUUAUAGAGAGAAAUAAAAAAAAUUUUGAGGAGUGCACCCGGACGAAUAUGUUUGACAACUGAUAAUUGGAAAUCAUCACACACUUGGCAACAUUACAUUUGCAUAACCGUCCAUUUUAUUGAUCAUGAUUGGAAACUUCAUAAAAGGAUCAUUAAGUUCACAUCAUUGUCACCCCCUUUUGAUGGACAAAGCAUCUCCGAAGAGAUUUUUAUGUUUCUUCACCAAUGGCAUUUAGAUGACAAAGUGCUUAGCUUAACGGUUGACAAUGCAAGUUACAAUAAUGUGAUGGUUAAGUACAUGAAAAAUCGUCUUAGAUCAAGGGGAAUGUUGGUUAGUGGUGGUUGUUUUUUUCAUAUUAGAUGUUGUGCUCAUAUCAUCAAUCUUAUUGUCCAAUCCGGUCUAUCUUGUAUUGAGAACAUAUUAGAUAGGAUUAGAAACUUGGUAAAAUUAGUUAUAAGAUCAUCUUCUAGAAGUAAGGAUUUUUAUGAUACCGCUCAAAAGCAUUUUCAUUUAGAGGCUAAGAGGAAACUUUGUAUGGACAUGCAAGUUCGUUGGAACUCUACAUAUAUGAUGCUUGAUAAUGUGCUUUACUAUAAAGAUGUGUUUAUUCAUUUGGGGUCAUUACAUGCAUCUUUCAAGAGUAAUGUGCCUUUGGAGGAUGAAUGGGAUAAAUUGAGUGUUGUUCACAAUUUUUUGAAACUCUUUUAUGAUGUUACAUGUAUGUUCUCGGCCAAUAAGUCUCCAACUUCUAACAUGUAUUUUAAGGGAGCAUGUAUGGUACAUCGUCGUUUACUUGAGACAUCUAAAGGUCCAAAUGAAUUUUUAGCUCAAAUGGUGUUACCUAUGUUGGAAAAAUUUGACAAAAUAGGUCCGAGUAUAACAUAUAUCUAGCUUGUGCGGCAAUUCUUGACCCAAGGUUUAAGUUAAAAUUUGUGGAGUAUUGUUUUAACAAGAUAUAUGGUUCGGAUGAGGCUAUGUAUCAAGUUGAAAAAGUGUUGAACACUUUAAAAUCUUUGUAGAAUGAGUAUAAGUCAACAUUUUCAACUUCCCCAAUUGUUGCUCCCUCUACUACAAGUAGUAGGAUUGAAGAUGAAAACUUCUUUGAUGAUUAUCAAAGCUAUAGUUCUAGAAUUACAAGGACUCAAACAAAAAAAGUCCCAACUUAAGUCAUAUUUGGAGGAAUCGGAGCUAGACUUCCGGAGCUUGCAAUAUUGGCACGGGAUCUUCUAACGAUUCCGGUUAGUACGGUGGCUUCCGAGUCGGCUUUUAGUGUAGGGGGGAAAACUAUAUCUCUUAAUCGUAGCUCAUUGAAACCCUCAAUGGUUCAAGCCCUAGUUUGUGUUCAAGAUUGGCGCCGUGAUGAAUAUAACAUCCCUUCAAAUUUGGAUCGUGAUUCUAGCUCGGAUGAUGAUGAGGCCGUUGAUGAUGGAGAUAAUGAUGAUGAGGUUGAUGAUAUUUUCCUAUACUAGAAUCCCUGCUGUUGGUUUCCCUGGUUUGGUUAAUGGUCAACAUAUGCCUGCUACCUCGACUACCCCUGAGAAAUCAGGACGCACUACCACACGGAAGCGUGGAGAGAAAGAACUGGAGUUACUACUCAUUAGUAUCUAGUGAGUCACUUGAUUGUAACAAAUUUGUGUGUCUAAUUUGUGUCAAGAGCAUUUCUAAGUUACUUGAUUGUAACAAAUUUGUGACAAGAACAUUGCUUAGUUCUCUAUUUUUAACUUGUUGGCUAAGACCCUUUAAAGCCCUUUAUAAUUCUCUUAUAUUGUGUUUACUUCAUGGUUGUUGUAGUUUGUUUUUACAUUUUAAAUUGGCCGGGCUGGGCUUAAUGGCCCAUGGAUAAGUUUAGCCCAUUUUGUAUUAUGCUUGGCCCGGCCCAUUUAAUAUAAAGUCCGGCCCGGCCCGUUGAAUAGGUCUAGUCGUCACCCACCUUACCCUAAAACCACCAACCACAAUCGUCAACCACCUAACCCUAAAACCGACCCACCCUCCGAACCUUAAAAUCGACCUGGACCACAACCCACACACCUAACCUAAAGAUCGACCCACCUACUUAACCCUUUAAAUCAACCCAGACAAUGACCCACCCAUCUAGCCCCUUAAACCGACCAAGAUCCACCCACUGCAACCCUAAAACCACCAACGAGCCACCACCACCACAACCUAAAUUUGUUUUUAAAAAAAAAUUAUAAACAAAUGAAAGAAAAUUAAAA